rfam:Operophtera brumata OBRT01_Sc02571, whole genome shotgun sequence.
CACCAGGCCCUUCUAAGGGCCACCGUACCUUAAGCUGUGGUCACUG